CGGCAUCACGACUAGCUCGCUGAAUCAUCGAGUUUACACAAACUCAUGAUGUCGUAAGGGAAAAUAAUGAUAAUACCUUACUAAUAGUGUCGUCCAAAUCUGGUGCCAGAAGACUCGGUAAGACCAGAGACGCAAACGUUAAUCAUCAUAAACAGGCGUAAAGGGUUUGUAGGCAGGUUUCCUAAAGAAUAUAAUUAACCAAAUAAAGUAUUUUCAAUGAAAGCUAGAAUCAAAUAUAGGUUAUAGUGUAUAACGCUUAGAGGAGGGCUGAUAUCCAUAGAUCCUAGGCAGAAUACUAAGGGCGAAGGCCACUUUCCAUUAAUGAUUGACGCUGAGAAACGAAGGUUAGGGUAGGAAAUAGGAUUAGAUACCCCGGUACUCCUUUCUGUAAACGAUGAAUGGUAGUCAUUAGUUUAAACAAAACUAGAGGCGAAGUUAACACGAUAACCAUUCCGCCUUGUGAGUACUACUGCAAAGUAGAAAACAAAAAAAUUAGUCGGUCUCGAAGCAAAAUGGGG
rnacentral:rRNA from 1 species